rnacentral:rRNA from 1 species
UAACGUCCGUCGUGAAGAGGGAAACAACCCAGACCGCCAGCUAAGGUCCCAAAGUCAUGGUUAAGUGGGAAACGAUGUGGGAAGGCCCAGACAGCCAGGAUGUUGGCUUAGAAGCAGCCAUCAUUUAAAGAAAGCGUAAUAGCUCACUGGUCGAGUCGGCCUGCGCGGAAGAUGUAACGGGGCUAAACCAUGCACCGAAGCUGCGGCAGCGACGCUUAUGCGUUGUUGGGUAGGGGAGCGUUCUGUAAGCCUGUGAAGGUGUGCUGUGAGGCAUGCUGGAGGUAUCAGAAGUGCGAAUGCUGACAUAAGUAACGAUAAAGCGGGUGAAAAGCCCGCUCGCCGGAAGACCAAGGGUUCCUGUCCAACGUUAAUCGGGGCAGGGUGAGUCGACCCCUAAGGCGAGGCCGAAAGGCGUAGUCGAUGGGAAACAGGUUAAUAUUCCUGUACUUGGUGUUACUGCGAAGGGGGGACGGAGAAGGCUAUGUUGGCCGGGCGACGGUUGUCCCGGUUUAAGCGUGUAGGCUGGUUUUCCAGGCAAAUCCGGAAAAUCAAGGCUGAGGCGUGAUGACGAGGCACUACGGUGCUGAAGCAACAAAUGCCCUGCUUCCAGGAAAAGCCUCUAAGCAUCAGGUAACAUCAAAUCGUACCCCAAACCGACACAGGUGGUCAGGUAGAGAAUACCAAGGCGCUUGAGAGAACUCGGGUGAAGGAACUAGGCAAAAUGGUGCCGUAACUUCGGGAGAAGG